UACGUAGGUGGCAAGCGUUGUCCGGAUUUACUGGGCGUAAAGAGCGCGCAGGCGGUCGAAUAAGUCGAAUGUGAAAGCCCCCGGCUUAACUGGGGAGGGUCAUUCGAUACUGUUCGACUUGAAGGCAGGAGAGGGCAGCAGAAUUCCCGGUGUAGUGGUGGAAUGCGUAGAUAUCGGGAGGAAUACCAGUGGCGAAGGCGGCUGCCUGGCCUGUUCUUGACGCUGAGGCGCGAAAGCUGGGGGAGCAAACGGG
rnacentral:rRNA from 1 species